GGUUUGGAUCUGUAAAAGCAGCAAAGAAUCCUGUAGUACCUUAUAGCUUAACAGACGUAUUGGAGCAUAAGCCUUUGUGGGUGAAUACCCACUUCGUCAGA